rnacentral:rRNA from 1 species
ACUAAACCGAGUAUAGGAGGUCCAGCCUGCCCAGUGACUACGGGUUCAACGGCCGCGGUAUUUUGACCGUGCAAAGGUAGCGCAAUCACUUGUCUUUUAAAUAGAGACCUGUAUGAAUGGCUAAACGAGGGCUUAACUGUCUCCCCCUUCAAGUCAGUGAAAUUGAUCUAUCCGUGCAGAAGCGGGUAUAACCAUACAAGACGAGAAGACCCUUUGGAGCUUAAGGUACAAAAUUCAACCACGUUAAGCAACUUGAUAAAAAGCAAAAACUUAGUGGAACCUGAAAUUUUACCUUCGGUUGGGGCGACCACGGAGGAAAACCAAGCCUCCGAGUGGAAUGGGCCAAACCCCUAAAACCAAGAGAUACAUCUCUAAGCCGCAGAACAUCUGACCAAAAAUGAUCCGGCCAACAAAGCCGAUCAACGGACCAAGUUACCCUAGGGAUAACAGCGCAAUCCUCUCCCAGAGUCCAUAUCGACGAGGGGGUUUACGACCUCGAUGUUGGAUCAGGACAUCCUAAUGGUGCAGCCGCUAUUAAGGGUUCGUUGUCAACGAUUAAAG